UGCAAGUCGAACGAGACCUUCGGGUCUAGUGGCGCACGGGUGCGUAACGCGUGGGAAUCUACCCUUAGGUGCGGAAUAACUCAGAGAAAUUUGAGCUAAUACCGCAUAAUGACUCCGGUCCAAAGAUUUAUCGCCUAAGGAUGAGCCCGCGUAAGAUUAGCUAGUUGGUGAGGUAAAAGCUCACCAAGGCGACGAUCUUUAGCUGGUCUGAGAGGACGACCAGCCACACUGGGACUGAGACACGGCCCAGACUCCUACGGGAGGCAGCAGUGGGGAAUAUUGGACAAUGGGCGCAAGCCUGAUCCAGCCAUGCCGCGUGAGUGAUGAAGGCCUUAGGGUUGUAAAGCUCUUUUACCAGGGAUGAUAAUGACAGUACCUGGAGAAUAAGCUCCGGCUAACUCCGUGCCAGCAGCCGCGGUAAUACGGAGGGAGCUAGCGUUGUUCGGAAUUACUGGGCGUAAAGCGCGCGUAGGCGGCCAUUCAAGUCAGAGGUGAAAGCCCGGGGCUCAACUCCGGAACUGCCUUUGAAACUAGAUGGCUAGAAUAUGGGAGAGGUGAGUGGAAUUCCGAGUGUAGAGGUGAAAUUCGUAGAUAUUUGGAGGAACACCAGUGGCGAAGGCGGCUCACUGGCUCGAUACUGACGCUGAGGUGCGAAAGUGUGGGGAGCAAACAGGAUUAGAUACCCUGGUAGUCCACACCGUAAACGAUGAAUGCCAGUCGUCGGGUAGCAUGCUGCUCGGUGACACACCUAACGAUUAAGCAUUCCGGCCUGGGGGAGUACGUCGCAGAUUAAAACUCAAAGGAAUUGACGGGCGCCGCACAGCGUGGGAGCAUGUGGAUUAAUCGAGCACGCGCAGAUCUUACUAUCCUGGACUUCUCAUCGAGAUGCUGGAGACGAUUUGCAAGUCGAUGCAAGUCGAUGCAAGUCGAUGCAAGUCGAUCUUCAGU
rnacentral:rRNA from 1 species